rnacentral:rRNA from 1 species
AUUGAACGCUGGCGGCAUGCCUAACACAUGCAAGUCGAGCGGAGAUAGGGGCAACCUUAUUUCAGUGGCGGACGGGUGAGGAAUGCGUCGGAAUCUGCCCUAUGGUGGGGGAUAACACAGGGAAACUUGUGCUAAUACCGCAUAAUGUCGAGAGACCAAAGCAGGGGACCGCAAGGCCUUGCGCGAUAGGAUGAGCCGACGCCCGAUUAGCUUGUUGGUAGGGUAAUGGUCUACCAAGGCGACGAUCGGUAGCUGGUCUGAGAGGAUGAUCAGCCACACUGGGACUAAGACACGGCCCAGACUCCUACGGGAGGCAGCAGUGGGGAAUAUUGGACAAUGGGCGCAAGCCUGAUCCAGCAAUGCCGCGUGUGUGAAGAAGGCCUGCGGGUUGUAAAGCUCUGUGGGGAGAGAAGAAUAAAGCCUGUGAAGAGCAGGCCUUGACGGUAUCUCCUUAGCAAGCACCGGCUAACUCCGUG